rnacentral:misc_RNA from 1 species
AGCAGCCGCGGUAAUUCCAGCUCCAAUAGCGUAUAUUAAAGUUGUUGCAGUUAAAAAGCUCGUAGUUAAAUUUCGGGAUCAGUUGAUCGGUCGUGCCUCGGUACGUACUGGUCAAAUUGAUUCCUACCUUCUGACGAACCACGAUGUCAUUAAUUUGGUGUCGCGGGAAAUCAGGACUGUUACUUUGAAAAAAUUAGAGUGUUUAAAGCAGGCUCGCGCUUGAAUACAUUAGCAUGGAAUAAUGAAAUAGGACGUUUGAUUCUAUUUUGUUGGUUUCUAGGAUCGACGUAAUGAUUAAUAGGGAUAGUUGGGGGCAUUAGUAUUCAAUUGUCAGAGGUGAAAUUCUUGGAUUUAUUGAAGACUAACUACUGCGAAAGCAUUUUGCCAAGGAUGUUUUCAUUAAUCAAGAACGAAAGUUAGGGGAUCGAAGACGAUCAGAUACCGUCGUAGUCUUAACCAUAAACUAUGCCGACUAGGGAUCGGAUGAUGUUAAUUUUUUUCAAUGACUCAUUCGGCGCCU